AAUAUUGUGUCCGAAUAAGGUAAUAAAUUGUAAAUUUAUUUAUAAAAAUUAAAAAUUUUUCAAUAUUA
rnacentral:tRNA from 1 species